rnacentral:rRNA from 1 species
CCUACGGGAGGCAGCAGUGAGGAAUAUUGGUCAAUGGGCGCGAGCCUGAACCAGCCAAGCCGCGUGAAGGAUGACUGCCCUACGGGUUGUAAACUUCUUUUAUAAAGGAAUAAAGUGAGGCACGUGUGCCUUUUUGUAUGUACUUUAUGAAUAAGGAUCGGCUAACUCCGUGCCAGCAGCCGCGGUAAUACGGAGGAUCCGAGCGUUAUCCGGAUUUAUUGGGGUUAAAGGGUGCGUAGAUGGGUUGUUAAGUCAGUUGUGAAAGUUUGGGGCUCAACCGUAAAAUUGCAAUUGAUACUGGCAGCCUUGAGAACAGGAGAGGUAGGCGGAAUGCGUAGUGUAGCGGUGAAAUGCUUAGAUAUCACGAAGAACUCCGAUUGCGAAGGCAGCUUACUAGACUGCCACUGACAUUGAGGCUCGAAAGUGUGGGUAUCAAACAGGAUUAGAUACCCGAGUAGUC